rnacentral:rRNA from 1 species
UACGUAGGGUGCGAGCGUUAAUCGGAAUUACUGGGCGUAAAGCGUGCGCAGGCGGUUAUUUAAGUCAGGUGUGAAAGCCCUGGGCUUAACCUAGGAAUUGCGCUUGAGACUGGAUAGCUUGGAGUGCGGCAGAGGGAGGUGGAAUUCCACGUGUAGCAGUGAAAUGCGUAGAUAUCUGGAGGAACACCGGUGGCGAAGGCGGCAUCCUGGACCAAUUCUGACGCUGAGGAGCGAAAGCCAGGGGAGCAAACGGG